ACUACGGGUGGCAGCAGUGAGGAAUAUUGGUCAAUGGGCGGAAGCCUGAACCAGUCAAGUAGCGUGCAGGAUGACGGCCCUACGGGUUGUAAACUGCUUUUAUACGGGAAUAACGCGCCUUACGUGUAGGGCUUUGCAUGUACCGUAUGAAUAAGGACCGGCUAAUUCCGUGCCAGCAGCCGCGGUAAUACGGAAGGUCCGGGCGUUAUCCGGAUUUAUUGGGUUUAAAGGGAGCGUAGGCCGCAUGUCAAGCGUGCUGUGAAAUGUCCGGGCUCAACCCGGGCCUUGCAGCGCGAACUGGCGUGCUUGAGUCCGCGGAAAGCAGGCGGAAUUCGUCGUGUAGCGGUGAAAUGCUUAGAUAUGACGAAGAACCCCGAUUGCGAAGGCAGCUUGCUGCAGCGGAACUGACGCUGAUGCUCGAAAGCGCGGGUAUCGAACAGGAUUAGAUACCCGAGUAGUC
rnacentral:rRNA from 1 species